AUGCCCCGACUGCCAGAAGAAGGAGGCAGAGCUGGCGAGGAUUGCCUUUGUCAGGCAAAAAAAGGCUCUGAUGGAAGGUGCUUUAAUCCAAGAGAAACUGGAAGAACAGAUUUACUCCAGAAACAUGCUCACACUUCUAGGAGAAGCCCUCAGAAGCUUUCCCAAACCUUCAGAGGAUCCCAGGGCCUCGUGGCAAAGGCUGAAAGCUAUCAGAUUCCUGAGGGGAAAAUAAAAUAUGAAGGAUUUAAAGUCAUUAGGCAGCUGGUGCUGGACUGGACUGCUCAGGAAGGUGCAGGGAUGUCAUCUGUAACUCCAUUUCUCCGUCAGUUCAGAUAUGUGGCUUUUCAAAAUCAAAACAGGAAUGCUUUUAAAAUCUUAAAUCUGCAAAGUUCUGCUUGUGCUCCAGCUGCAUUUUGGGGUAGAAGCUGCUUUUAUGGAGAAAUCCUUUCAAAACAGUGUGUGAGGACUCUGUUGGUGGCUCUGCUGCAGCUGUGACAAACCGUGGGGUGCCACCACCACCUUCCACUCCUCCUUUGCUUCCUGAGGGCACAGAAUGCUCCUUCCUGCUGCUUGGACACAGAUCAGGGACCCAGGAUGGCAAGAAGGGUGAGAGAAACCUCAAAAACUGCAAACUGGGGCUGCAGGGACCCACCCCCCAUGUCUGCAAGUGCCAAGAAGGAAGUUUUAUGGGAGAACUCUUGCUUUUUCCUGGGAGUCAACAUGCCUGGGUGUCAGUUGGAAGGGGGAAGGGCUGUUUGGGUGAACAAGGAAAUCCUGACACAACUCCAACAUGGAAAGGGAUCAUGCAGGGACAGUACUGGCUGAUAAUCCAGGUCAUUGUGAUUCCAGAACUGGAGAGGUGGACACAGAGGAACUUCGGGAAGUUCAAACAGAGGAUGUGCAAAGAAAAGGAAACUUUCCCUUAACCCCCCCCCCCAAACAUUCUUCCUUGUCCAUGCUCUGAUUUAAUUCAAGCAACAGAGAAUAAAUAAUUCUUCCCUUGUUUUGUUGGUUUUGUG
rnacentral:lncRNA from 1 species